GCGUGUGUGAAGAAGCCUUCGGGUUGUAAAGCACUUUCAGUAGGGAGGAAGGUAGUGUAGUUAACACCUGCAUUAUUUGACGUUACCUACAGAAGAAGCACCGGCUAACUCCGUGCCAGCAGCCGCGGUAAUACGGAGGGUGCGAGCGUUAAUCGGAAUUACUGGGCGUAAAGCGCAUGCAGGCGGCCUGUUAAGUCAGAUGUGAAAGCCCGGGGCGUUAACCUCCGGAAUUGCAUUUGAAACUGGCAGGCUAGAGUCUUGUAGAGGGGGGUUAGGAAUUUCAGGUGUAGCGGUGAAAUGCGUAGAGAUCUGAAGGAAUACCAGUGGCGAAGGCGGCCCCCUCGGACAAAGACUGACGCUCAGAUGCGAAAGCGUGGGGAGCAAACAGGAUUAGAUACCCUGGUAG
rnacentral:rRNA from 1 species